GCGACAGGCAGAGAUCAGCAGCGAGCUGAGCCGGGUGGAUGGAGGGAUGAUGGAGGGAUGGAGGGAUGAGGGGAGGAUGGAGGGAUGACGGGUGGAUGUGGCUGGACAGGGGCCGAGGGGGGGACAGAGGGACGGAGCUGUGGAGAAGGGCAGGAUGGAUAAAUCCGUAAAGGGAGGUGAGGAGGUGGAUGAGCAGAUGGAGGGAUGAAUUUCAUCCAGUGUCAGCGAGAGACCCAACUGGACUUCCCAGCUCUGCCCUUUCCCUGCCCAGUCCCCGGCGGUGACCCAGAGCUAUCGCUGCUGCCGCUUCGAGGAAAUGGGGAGGAGAAA